AUUGAACGCUGGCGGUAUGCUUAACACAUGCAAGUCGGACGGAAACAGCAGAGAGCUUGCUCUCUGGCUGUCGAGUGGCGGAUGGGUGAGUAAUAUAUAGGAACCUACCUUAUAGUUUGGGAUAACUACUCGAAAGAGUGGCUAAUACCGGAUGUGGACUAAGGUUUAAAGCAGGGGAUCUUCGGACCUUGCGCUAUGAGAUGGGCCUAUACAAGAUUAGCUAGUUGGUGAGGUAAGGGGCUCACCAAGGCGACGGAUCUUUAGCUGGUUUGAGAGGAUGAUCAGCCACACUGGGACUGGGACACGGCCCAGACUCCUACGGGAGGCAGCAGUGGGGAAUAUUGGACAAUGGGGGCAACCCUGAUCCAGCCAUGCCGCGUGUGUGAAGAAGGUCUUCGGAUUGUAAAGCACUUUAAGUUGUGAGGAAGGGUACGUGUAACGAACGUACUUU
rnacentral:rRNA from 1 species